UUACGGUCAUAUCACGUUCAAACUCUGGUUCUCGUUCGAUCACGGAAGUUAAGCAACGUUGAGCCUGGUCAAUAAUUAGAUGAAUGACCGCUUGGA